GUGGGGAAUAUUGGACAAUGGGCGAAAGCCUGAUCCAGCCAUGCCGCGUGAGUGAUGAAGGCCUUAGGGUUGUAAAGCUCUUUUGUCCGGGAAGAUAAUGACUGUACCGGAAGAAUAAGCCCCGGCUAACUUCGUGCCAGCAGCCGCGGUAAUACGAAGGGGGCUAGCGUUGCUCGGAAUCACUGGGCGUAAAGGGCGCGUAGGCGGACUUUUAAGUCGGAGGUGAAAGCCCAGGGCUCAACCCUGGAAUUGCCUUCGAUACUGGGAGUCUUGAGUUCGGAAGAGGUUGGUGGAACUGCGAGUGUAGAGGUGAAAUUCGUAGAUAUUCGCAAGAACACCGGUGGCGAAGGCGGCCAACUGGUCCGAAACUGACGCUGAGGCGCGAAAGCGUGGAGAGCAAACAGGAUUAGAUACCCGAGUAGUCC
rnacentral:rRNA from 1 species